rnacentral:rRNA from 1 species
GUGGGGAAUAUUGGACAAUGGGCGCAAGCCUGAUCCAGUCAUGCCGCGUGAGUGAUGAAGGCCUUAGGGUUGUAAAGCUCUUUCAGUGGGGACGAUAAUGACGGUACCCACAGAAGAAGCCCCGGCUAACUUCGUGCCAGCAGCCGCGGUAAUACGAAGGGGGCUAGCGUUGUUCGGAUUUACUGGGCGUAAAGCGCACGUAGGCGGAUCGUUAAGUCGGGGGUGAAAUCCUGGAGCUCAACUCCAGAACUGCCUUCGAUACUGGCGAUCUUGAGUCCGGAAGAGGUGAGUGGAACUCCUAGUGUAGAGGUUGAAUUCGUAGAUAUUAGGAAGAACACCAGUGGCGAAGGCGACUCACUGGUCCGGUCCUGACGCUGAGGUGCGAAAGCGUGGGGAGCAAACAGGAUUAGAAACCCUUGUAGUCC